rnacentral:rRNA from 1 species
GAGCAACGCCGCGUGCGGGAGGAAGGCCUUAGGGUUGUAAACCGCUUUUCUCAAGGAAGAAGUCAGUGACGGUACUUGAGGAAUCAGCCUCGGCUAACUUCGUGCCAGCAGCCGCGGUAAUACGAAGGAGGCAAGCGUUAUCCGGAAUUAUUGGGCGUAAAGCGUCCGCAGGCGGUUAGGCAAGUCUGUCGUUAAAGCGUAAGGCUCAACCUCAUACCGGCGAUGGAAACUGUUUAACUAGAGUGCAGUAGGGGUAGCGGGAACUCCCGGUGUAGCGGUGAAAUGCGUAGAUAUCGGGAAGAACACCAGAGGCGAAGGCGCGCUACUGGGCUGUAACUGACGCUCAUGGACGAAAGCUAGGGGAGCGAAAGGGAUUAGAUACCCCUGUAGUCCUAGCUGUAAACGAUGGACACUAGGUGUUGCGCGAAUCGACCCGUGCAGUGCCGUAGCUAACGCGUUAAGUGUCCCGCCUGGGGAGUACGCACGCAAGUGUGAAACUCAAAGGAAUUGACGGGGGCCCGCACAAGCGGUGGAGUAUGUGGUUUAAUUCGAUGCAACGCGAAGAACCUUACCAGGGCUUGACAUCCUGCGAAUCUUGGUGAAAGUCAAGAGUGCCUUCGGGAGCGCAGAGACAGGUGGUGCAUGGCUGUCGUCAGCUCGUGUCGUGAGAUGUUGGGUUAAGUCCCGCAACGAGCGCAACCCACGUUCUCAGUUGCCAGCAUUCAGUUGGGCACUUUGGGGAGACUGCCGGUGACAAACCGGAGGAAGGUGUGGACGACGUCAAGUCAUCAUGCCCCUUACGUCCUGGGCUACACACGUACUACAAUGCUGCGGACAGAGGGACGCGAAGCCGCGAGGUGAAGCAAAUCCCAGAAACCGUGGCACAGUUCAGAUUGCAGGCUGCAACUCGCCUGCAUGAAGUCGGAAUCGCUAGUAAUCGCAGGUCAGCAUACUGCGGUGAAUACGUUCCCGGGCCUUGUACACACCGCCCGUCACACCAUGGGAGUUGGCCAUGCCCGAAGUCGUUACCCUAACCGUUCGCGGAGGGGGGCGCCGAAGGCGGGGCUGAUGACUGGGGUGAAGUCGUAACAAGGUAGCCGUACCGGAAGGUG